CUCCCACCUCAAGCAGAGCCCUCUCUCUCCGCCGCCGCCGGACGAUUCUGGCGAUCUCCGGCUCCUGGGGCACAACACGAGCGGCUCCUGGGGCUCGUCUCGCUCCACUGGGUCUUCCAGCGCCACCCGCGACCGUCUCCCGUCGCUAGGGUUUUCCCCGGCGUGGUUCGGCGACUCAGAUCAAGGAUGCCAUGGGCGGAUGGCCUCUUCCUCCCCUGCCCCGACGCCAUGAAGUUGCUAGACCUGGCCGUUGGCCGCGAGCCCAGCCACCUCCUUGCGGCCGCAUCGUCUGGAUCUGGCCGACUCUCUAGCCCGGCCGCAUCAUCGGGGUCUGGCCCGCGAGGAUCCAGGCCGCCCACCCCCGCUCCCGUCUGUCGCCGCUCCGGAUCCGCGCCACCCGCGCUCCUCGACCUCGAGCUUCGCCCCCGCCCGUCUGUUGCCGCUUCGAGGCGGCGGCGCAGCUGGCCUGAGCCCGAGCAGGAGCCGCAACUCAUCUCGCCCAAGCUGUUGGCCGUGAGCCCAGCCACCUCCUCGUCCUGGAAAGGGUUCCACCAAUGCAGCCCACGAGAUGAAUAUAUGAGUAUAUGAGCUAAUGUAUGUUUUAGUAGAUAUAUACAAAUCAAUGUGAAUUCUGAACUGAGCGACCCAUGAGUUCAUCCAUACAAAUAUGUGAAUUCUGAACUGAGCGACCCUUGAGUUCAUCCAUACAAAUAUUCAUCUCGACAGUCCACUGUUUACUACAGUAGUAGUUAUUUUAGUUUCCGCACAUCGGUUAUUCUGAAUUCCCAGUCACAGGUAACUGCCAAACCGCACAACUUAAUUUUACACUACUGGAAAAGGGUGCAAGUUAUGAUUCCUUUGCUGAAGCCUGCACGUCUCUAUCUAAAUUGUUUGUCAUGAGUUUUCUGACUUUAAUCGAUCGCAGCAGCUGGAAGAUGGAGCCUGACCAGAGUGGCACCGGGCAGACUUCUCCCCGUGGGAACGACUAAGAGGUCGUGCAGCUCACCGUGUGGCCUGCCUAGGGUUUCUGGUGGCUACACGCCGGCCAUGGGUCUCCGAACACCAUGAAGGCGACGGUGCUAAUUCGAUUUGAUCCUCAAGGCCACCCAUGGAUCUUGCUGCAGGAGCUAUGUUUUGGAGAACCAACCUGAGAUGCAGGUGGGUUCUUGGGCCAUGCUCUUCUCGAGCAUGAGGGCCAUGAGGGGUUUGCUCCACUGCCCCUAGGGCGACCAAGAGGUCCUGCCCCGAGCUCAAGCACGUCCACACCGACCCACGACGACACGUCCAUAACAGCUCGCUCAAUCAGUAUUGGCUGUGACGUCGAUGGAGAACUAAACCUUGCUGCCACACUCUGCAACAUCAACAGGUGCCUUCGUUCGGACUCUACGAACAUACCCGAAAAUGGUGUUCCCUCUCAUUUACAGGAGCUCUAGUCUGGAAGUGAAGUAGGAAGUAUAUUUGAAGUUCAAGGCCGUGUAGCAAAUAGUUGUAUGUUUUGCCUAUGUGUAAUAGACUGUACAUAUUGUAAUAGACUAUGUACAGAUUAUAGUAGACUAAUUUAGUGUUCUUUGAUGAACUGCAUUUGUUAUGUUCUGUUUGAAAUAAUGAU